UAUUAAGCGGCCAGGAGGAGAUGGGGCAGGGGGCACCUAGCAGGGACUUAGAGACCGUCGCUAAGGAACUGGCGGCAGAGAGGAGAGCAGGGAAGAGGCGGAGACCAGGACUCUGCAGGACGACUGAUGAGGGACAGCUGGCGAUGAGGCCCCCAUCUGAUUCUGGAGUCAGUGUCUGGCUGAAAGCUGGGCAUACAGGACUAUUCAGAGACGGAGUUUCACCAUGUUGACCUCAGGUGAUCCACCUACCUGGGCCUCCUAAACUGCCGGGAUUACAGGCGUGAGCCACCGCGCCCAGCUCUUCAAGUUUCUGCUACCAAGAUGCCUUCACUGAAUAAGGAGCUGGGUGUACAAUGGGCACUCGUGACCUGGCAUGAGCGGAUGCCAGCAUGCCACUGUCCACGGGCAUCUAAGUGGGGAUAUUCAGUCAGCCAUUGGAUGUACACCAAGUCGGCACACGGGGAAGAGACAUCUGGGCUGGAGACAGUAAUGGAUGAAGUCACCAAUGAAUAACAUGGAGAGUGAGCAGAGGAGGCCAAAGUCAGUAUUCUGGGAAAAACAAUGUUUGCAGAGUGCCCUGAGGAGGAGGAGAUGCUAAGAAGCCAGAAGAGGUAGAGGAAGGAGGCCCUGUGACCCAUCAGAGCCACAUCCGCCACUUGCUCUCGAGGGUCCUGCCUGCUCAGAUAAGUUGGCUACUCAUUGGUCAUCACCUGGCAACUCUGUCCUUCCUUGCAUCUGGCCAACUUCUUUUUCCUCUCUCUUUCCUCCUGCCCUCCUCAUUACCAUCUAAAUUAGCUCCAGUAGCUCUCAUCAAAACUCAAAUAACGGCCAGGCGCGGCG
rnacentral:lncRNA from 1 species